AACUUUCGGCAAUGGAUCUCUUGGUUCUGGCAUCGAUGAAGAACGCAGCGAAUUGCGAUAAAUAAUGUGAAUUGCAGAUUUCCGUGAAUCAUCGAAUCUUUGAACGCAUAUUGCGCCUAGUAGUAUUCUAUUAGGCAUGCCUAUUCGAGCGUCGUUUCUCCCCUCAAGCCUUAACCAGCUUGGUACUGGAGAUGUGCCUUCAGGCUGGUCUCCGAAAUAUAGUGGCGACGAAAUCUAGUCUCUUUCUACGUAGUAAAAUAAUCCUCGUUUAAGGAGCUAGACCAGUUUGCCUACGACAUUUUAUUAUAUCAGUUGACCUCGGAUUAGGUAGGAAUACCCGCUGAACUUAAGCAUAUCAAUAAGCGGAGGCU
rnacentral:misc_RNA from 1 species